AGACCCGAAACCCGGUGAUCUAGCCAUGGGCAGGUUGAAGGUUGGGUAACACUAACUGGAGGACCGAACCGACUAAUGUUGAAAAAUUAGCGGAUGACCUGUGGCUGGGGGUGAAAGGCCAAUCAAACCGGGAGAUAGCUGGUUCUCCCCGAAAGCUAUUUAGGUAGCGCCUCGUGAAUUCAUCUCCGGGGGUAGAGCACUGUUUCGGCUAGGGGGCCAUCCCGGCUUACCAACCCGAUGCAAACUGCGAAUACCGGAGAAUGUUAUCACGGGAGACACACGGCGGGUGCUAACGUCCGUCGUGAAGAGGGAAACAACCCAGACCGCCAGCUAAGGUCCCAAAGUCAUGGUUAAGUGGGAAACGAUGUGGGAAGGCCCAGACAGCCAGGAUGUUGGCUUAGAAGCAGCCAUCAUUUAAAGAAAGCGUAAUAGCUCACUGGUCGAGUCGGCCUGCGCGGAAGAUGUAACGGGGCUAAACCAUGCACCGAAGCUGCGGCAGCGACGCUGAUGCGUUGUUGGGUAGGGGAGCGUUCUGUAAGCCUGCGAAGGUGGCCUGUGAGGGUUGCUGGAGGUAUCAGAAGUGCGAAUGCUGACAUAAGUAACGAUAAAGCGGGUGAAAAGCCCGCUCGCCGGAAGACCAAGGGUUCCUGUCCAACGUUAAUCGGGGCAGGGUGAGUCGACCCCUAAGGCGAGGCCGAAAGGCGUAGUCGAUGGGAAACGGGUUAAUAUUCCCGUACUUGGUGUUACUGCGAAGGGGGGACGGAGAAGGCUAUGUUGGCCGGGCGACGGUUGUCCCGGUUUAAGCGUGUAGGUGUGUGUUCCAGGUAAAUCCGGUUCACUUUAACACUGAGGCGUGACGACGAGGCACUACGGUGCUGAAGCAACAAAUGCCCUGCUUCCAGGAAAAGCCUCUAAGCAUCAGGUAACAUCAAAUCGUACCCCAAACCGACACAGGUGGUCAGGUAGAGAAUACCAAGGCGCUUGAGAGAACUCGGGUGAAGGAACUAGGCAAAAUGGUGCCGUAACUUCGGGAGAAGGCACGCUGACACGUAGGUGAAGUGAUUUACUCAUGGAGCUGAAGUCAGUCGAAGAUACCAGCUGGCUGCAACUGUUUAUUAAAAACACAGCACUGUGCAAACACGAAAGUGGACGUAUACGGUGUGACGCCUGCCCGGUGCCGGAAGGUUAAUUGAUGGGGUCAGCGCAAGCGAAGCUCCUGAUCGAAGCCCCGGUAAACGGCGGCCGUAACUAUAACGGUCCUAAGGUAGCGAAAUUCCUUGUCGGGUAAGUUCCGACCUGCACGAAUGGCGUAAUGAUGGCCAGGCUGUCUCCACCCGAGACUCAGUGAAAUUGAACUCGCUGUGAAGAUGCAGUGUACCCGCGGCAAGACGGAAAGACCCCGUGAACCUUUACUAUAGCUUGACACUGAACAUUGAGCCUUGAUGUGUAGGAUAGGUGGGAGGCUUUGAAGUGUGGACGCCAGUCUGCAUGGAGCCGACCUUGAAAUACCACCCUUUAAUGUUUGAUGUUCUAACGUGGACCCGUGAUCCGGGUUGCGGACAGUGUCUGGUGGGUAGUUUGACUGGGGCGGUCUCCUCCUAAAGAGUAACGGAGGAGCACGAAGGUUGGCUAAUCCUGGUCGGACAUCAGGAGGUUAGUGCAAUGGCAUAAGCCAGCUUGACUGCGAGCGUGACGGCGCGAGCAGGUGCGAAAGCAGGUCAUAGUGAUCCGGUGGUUCUGAAUGGAAGGGCCAUCGCUCAACGGAUAAAAGGUACUCCGGGGAUAACAGGCUGAUACCGCCCAAGAGUUCAUAUCGACGGCGGUGUUUGGCACCUCGAUGUCGGCUCAUCACAUCCUGGGGCUGAAGUAGGUCCCAAGGGUAUGGCUGUUCGCCAUUUAAAGUGGUACGCGAGCUGGGUUUAGAACGUCGUGAGA
rnacentral:rRNA from 1 species